rnacentral:rRNA from 1 species
AUGUCGUCGUCGGCAUCUCUCCCAGCUCUCGGCCUCCCGGAGCGGCUCGGCUACGUGCAGUGCAGGUUCUGCAACACCAUCUUGCUGGUGAACGUGCCGUGCAGCGGCCUUCUCAAGAUGGUGGCGGUGCAGUGCGGCCGCUGCGCCGGCAUCCUCUCCGUCAGCGUGGCUUCUCCCCCACCACCGCCGCCGUCCGUCGAGCUGCCUCUGCAGGAGCUAGGCGUUGAUCCGCCGCCGAGGGAAUGGUCGGACGACAGCAGCGCCGGCGACAACGACGACGGCGACUGGGAGGGAGAGGUCGUGGAGAAGAGUGCCACUGCCGUCAACAAACCGCCGGUGAGGAAGCAGCGGACGCCGUCGGCAUACAACUGUUUCAUCAAGGAAGAGAUAAAGAGGAUUAAAGCCAUGGAGCCUGACAUCACACACAAAGAAGCAUUCAGCACAGCCGCUAAAAACUGGGCUCACUUACCCAGAAUUCAGCACAAGGGAGACUGA